UGGCAUAGAGGUUAAGUGCUAUGGCUGCUAACCAAAAGGUCGGCAGUUCGAAUCUGCC
rnacentral:tRNA from 1 species